ACGCUGGCGGCAGGCUUAACACAUGCAAGUCGAACGAUAAGCUAGACUUCGGUUUAGUGGACAGUGGCAGACGGGUGAGUAACGCGUGGGAAUCUACCUUUGAGUGGGGAAUAACAAUUAGAAAUGAUUGCUAAUACCGCAUACACCCUCCGGGGGAAAGGCUUCGGCCGCUCUUAGAUGAGCCCGCGUACGAUUAGUUUGUUGGUGAGGUAAUGGCUCACCAAGACUACGAUCGUUAGCUGGUUUGAGAGGAUGAUCAGCCACACUGGGACUGAGACACGGCCCAGACUCCUACGGGAGGCAGCAGUGGGGAAUAUUGGACAAUGGGCGAAAGCCUGAUCCAGCCAUGCCGCGUGAGUGAAGAAGGCCUUAGGGUUGUAAAACUCUUUCGACAGGGAAGAUAAUGACGGUACCUGUAUAAGAAGCUCCGGCUAACUCCGUGCCAGCAGCCGCGGUAAUACGGAGGGGGCAAGCGUUGCUCGGAAUUACUGGGCGUAAAGCGAGCGUAGGCGGUAAAUCAAGUUGGUGGUGAAAGCCCGGAGCUCAACUCCGGAACUGCCAUCAAAACUGGUUUACUUGAGAUUGGUAGAGGAAAAUGGAAUUCCUAGUGUAGAGGUGAAAUUCGUAGAUAUUGGGAAGAACAUCGGUGGCGAAGGCGAUUUUCUGGGCCAAAUCUGACGCUGAGGUUCGAAAGCGUGGGUAGCAAACAGGAUUAGAUACCCUGGUAGUCCACGCCGUAAACGAUGAGUGCUAGACGUUGGAAAUUUAUUUUUCAGUGUCGUAGUUAACGCAUUAAGCACUCCGCCUGGGGAGUACGG
rnacentral:rRNA from 1 species